GCAGUAGGUGUGAAUUACCCUCCCCCCUUUCACCUGUCAAGUUGUAUGCGGACGUUUUAUUUAUUUAUUUUUUAUUUGUGGGAAAUUUACACCAUUUACGUAAAUAACAAGUUACUAUUUUAAAUAAUGUGUUGUACUUAAUCUUAACUCUAAAACGUGGAGUUUAAAGCAGGUCUAAAAAGAAUGAAAGAAUUAUAUGUUUUGAUAUUUCCAAUCAAGCCUCCUCUCUUUACCAUGAAUGGAUUGGAGAUGAGUUGUUGGUAGAUGCAUUUGUUCUACCACACUUUUCAUAAACCUAUCUAGGGUGGCACACUUUCGUGGAAAAAUAGUAUAAAUAUUUAGUGAAUAAUGCGUUACUAUACCAUCGACCUCACAUGCGUUUUUAUAGAAAAAUUAAAUAUAUAGAAAAUUUGAUUUAUUUAAUAUCAGCCUCUUUUUCAGUUGUUCACUUUUUUUUAAUAGUUUGGUUCCACUCUUGUUAGAACAUAUGUUUGUGUGUCCUGUGUUUGAGUGUGAGUGUUUGGAGUUUACCAAUAUGUGGUCGUGUAAUUAAUUGAACAUGUCAAUGCAAUCUUUUUAUUUUUAUUUUUUUCAUUUCCUUUAUUAAGGUGCUAAUUGAAUUGUCAACACUAUAUAGGUUCUAUAAAACAGUUUGUUAUUAAACAAAUUGCCAAU